GCCGCCUUAGCUCCAAUUGGUAGAGCGCCUCACUUGUAAUGAGAUUGUUAUCGGUUCGAGUCCGAUAGGCGGCUCCA
rnacentral:tRNA from 1 species